rnacentral:rRNA from 1 species
CCUACGGGAGGCAGCAGUGGGGAAUAUUGCACAAUGGGGGAAACCCUGAUGCAGCGACGCCGCGUGAGUGAAGAAGUAUUUCGGUAUGUAAAGCUCUAUCAGCAGGGAAGAAAAUGACGGUACCUGAUUAAGAAGCCCCGGCUAACUCCGUGCCAGCAGCCGCGGUAAUACGGAGGAUGCGGACGUUAUCCGGAUUUAUUGGGUUUAAAGUGGGCGUAGGCGGAAUGCCAAGUCAGCGGUAAAAUCGCGGGGCUCAACCUCGCUCCGCCGUUGAAACUGGCGUUCUUGAGUGGGCGAGAAGUAUGCGGAAUGCGUGGUGUAGCGGUGAAAUGCAUAGAUAUCACGCAGAACUCCGAUUGCGAAGGCAGCAUACCGGCGCCCAACUGAUGCUGAAGCACGAAAGCGUGGGUAUCGAACAGGAUUAGAUACCCCAGUAGUC